rnacentral:tRNA from 1 species
CACUAAGAAGCUAUGCAACAGCACUAGCCUUUUAAGCUAGAGAAAGAGAGCCACAACCCUCCUUAGUGA